CGUAGGGGAACCUGCGGCUGGAUCACCUCCUUAAUCGACGACAUCAGCUGCUCCAUAAGUUCCCACACGAAUUGCUUGAUUCAUUGAAGAAGACGAUAAGAAGCAGCCCGAAAUUGGGUCUGUAGCUCAGUUGGUUAGAGCGCACCCCUGAUAAGGGUGAGGUCGGCAGUUCGAAUCUGCCCAGACCCACCAAUUUUGUGUGGGAAACGCCUGUAGAAAUACGGGGCCAUAGCUCAGCUGGGAGAGCGCCUGCCUUGCACGCAGGAGGUCAACGGUUCGAUCCCGUUUGGCUCCACCACUACUGCUUCUGCCGUUUAAAGCUUAGAAAUGAGCAUUCCAUCGUUGUGAUGGUGAAUGUUGAUUUCUAGUCUUUGAUUAGAUCGUUCUUUAAAAAUUUGGGUAUGUGAUAGAAAGAUAGACUGAACGUUACUUUCACUGGUAACGGAUCAGGCUAAGGUAAAAUUUGUGAGUUCUCUUAGUUGAGAAAUUCGAAUUUUCGGCGAAUGUCGUCUUCACAGUAUAACCAGAUUGCUUGGGG
rnacentral:tRNA from 1 species